UACGUAGGGUGCGAGCGUUAAUCGGAAUUACUGGGCGUAAAGCGUGCGCAGGCGGUUUUGUAAGCCAGAUGUGAAAUCCCCGGGCUCAACCUGGGAAUGGCAUUUGGGACUGCAAGGCUGGAGUGCGGCAGAGGAGACUGGAAUUCCUGGUGUAGCAGUGAAAUGCGUAGAUAUCAGGAGGAACACCGGUGGUGUAAACGGCUUUCUGGACCAUAACUGACGCUGAGGCACGAAAGCGUGGGUAGCAAACAGG
rnacentral:rRNA from 1 species